rnacentral:ncRNA from 1 species
CUCUCAAUUCAUCAGCAGCUGGAGGUUUUUGGCCAGAAAGUGGUGUUGACGCAAUGUGAUUUCUGCCCAGUGCUCUGAAUGUUAAAGUGAAGAAAUUCAACCAAGCGCGAGUAAACGGCGAGAGUAACCAUUUGAAAGGAUGCCUUAAUAAGUGUGUAUCUGCGAAG